UACGUAGGGGGCAAGCGUUGUCCGGAUUUAUGGGGCGUAAAGAGCGUGUAGGCGGCCAGAUAGGUCAGCUGUGAAAACUCGAGGCUCAACCUCGAGACGCCGGUUGAAACCAUCUGGCUAGAGUCCGGAAGAGGAGAGUGGAAUUCCUGGUGUAGCGGUGAAAUGCGCAGAUAUCAGGAAGAACACCCGUGGCUAAGGCGGCUCUCUAGUACGGUACUGACGCUGAGACGCGAAAGCGUGGGGAGCGAACAGG
rnacentral:rRNA from 1 species